UACGGGGGGGGGCAAGCGUUGUUCGGAAUUACUGGGCGUAAAGGGCUCGUAGGCGGCCAACUAAGUCAUACGUGAAAUCCCUCGGCUUAACCGGGGAACUGCGUCUGAUACUGGAUGGCUUGAGAUUGGGAGAGGGAUGCGGAAUUCCAGGUGUAGCGGUGAAAUGCGUAGAUAUCUGGAGGAACACCGGUGGCGAAGGCGGCAUCCUGGACCGGCAUUGACGCUGAGGCGCGAAAGCCAGGGGAGCAAACGGG
rnacentral:rRNA from 1 species